rnacentral:rRNA from 1 species
UACGUAGGGGCAAGCGUUGUCCGGAAUCAUUGGGCGUAAAGCGCGCGUAGGUGGCCCGGUAAGUCCGCUCUGAAAGUCAAAGGCUCAACCUUUGAAAGCGGGUGGAUACUGUCGGGCUAGAGUCCGGAAGAGGCGAGUGGAAUUCCUGGUGUAGCGGUGGAAUGCGCAGAUAUCAGGAGGAACACCAACGGCGAAGGCAGCUCGCUGGGACGGUACUGACACUAAGGCGCGAAAGCGUGGGGAGCGAACAGG